CGGCAGGCCUAAUACAUGCAAGUCGAGGGGUAACAGGAAGUGCUUGCACUUCGCUGACGACCGGCGUACGGGUGAGUAUCGCGUAUACAAUCUGCCUCAUACUAGGGAAUAGCCCGAAGAAAUUUGGAUUAAUGCCCUAUAGUAUCUUUUUAAGGCAUCUUAUUAAGAUUAAAGUUUUCGGUAUGAGAUGAGUAUGCGUUCUAUUAGCUAGUAGGUGUGGUAACGGCACACCUAGGCUACGAUAGAUAGGGGCCCUGAGAGGGGGAUCCCCCACACUGGUACUGAGACACGGACCAGACUCCUACGGGAGGCAGCAGUAAGGAAUAUUGGUCAAUGGACGAAAGUCUGAACCAGCCAUGCCGCGUGCAGGAUGACUGCCCUAUGGGUUGUAAACUGCUUUUAUAUAGGAAGAAAAACUUUCUCGUGAGAAAGCUUGACGGUACUAUAAGAAUAAGGAUCGG
rnacentral:rRNA from 1 species